CUCUUAUUCUCCACUUCUACCUCACCCCUUCGUCCCUCUUUUGAUCUUGCUCCUUUCUGCAUUUUCAAAUGAAGAUCCAGAGGCAGCUUUUUAGUGUGAUUACAGUGGCAGUUGCCAAAGCAAUUACCCUGGCACCAGGUAAACCCCAAGCUCUCCCUCUCUCCUCCUCUUCUCCUCCUUUCCUCCUCUCCUCUUCCUCUCCUCUCCUCCUCUCCUUUUCUCUCUCUCCUCCGCUGCCGUUUUCCCCUGCUGCUCGGCUGGCAUCAUCCAGACUGAUAAAGUGCUGUGUGUGUGUGUGUGUUUAUGUGUGUGUGUUUGUGUAUGUGUGCGUGUGUGUGUUUGUGUAUGUGUGUGUGUGUGUGUGUGUGUGUACGUGUGUGUUUGGCUGCUGUCUCUGUGUCUCAUUGUGUUAAACAUGCCUCUCCUGCUCUAAUCUCUGCCUCUUGCUCCAUAGGGGCCUAUUCGCAAACACACAGGCUGUAUGAUAUAUAGUGCUGUGUAGAGAAGAUUACACUCACAUUAGUACUACGGCUUGAGUCCCUAUCGCUUUACCUGCCAAAUGCAGCUCACUUCUCUCUUGAAUAUUCACACAAACAUUACAAUGUUUUGUAGCUAUGUGUGCUUGGUCUGACAGUUCUUACUCUACAUUCACUUGUGAAAGAUGUAAAGAAAGAAUGCCCACCCUAAAUUGAGGGGCUGGCAAACGGAGGAGAAACAAUCCAAAUGAAAAAUAAAGUGAUACACUCAAAAGAGAAAAGGGAAAUUCCGGAGAGUAAGAAAAAGAAAAUACAAAAAUUCUGCAUCAACAGAAUUUUUACCAAGGUCAUCACUUGAACUAACUGUUAAGUAUCUCACUGUGCCUUUUCAACUCAAGUGUGUCAAAAACAGCUAUACACGAUGGAACUUCCCAUCCAGUCGUAAUGCACUGCACUUUUAUUACUGUUUUAUUGUUGAUGUUUUGGGGGAGCAGACAGAGGCUUGGUAAUUUUGUUAUGUGGACAAUACAUUAUCUGGCAAAUCUGGGUGAUUAUUUAUACACACUUAAGCCUGAGUACAGCCAAGUGUAAUUCACUGUAAGCAGGGAUCAUUGGAAUAGCAAAUCAAUGCCCCAGCACACUUCCCCACACCCUAGGACCCCUCCCUCCCUCUCUCCCUCCCUCCCUCCAUCCCGCCCGCCAUCCCCAGUCCCAGCCAGACUGGGCCAUUUGUCUCAGCCAGCCAGCCAGCCAGCCAGCCAGCCGGGCACCAGGCCAACCAAGCCCUGUCCUGUUACAGGAGGGAGGGAGGUACAGAGAAGAGGUAGUGCAGUGGGUAAGGGAUAUAGGAGGGGAGAGGAGGGGAAGGAGGGAUGGAUGGAUGGAUGGAAGGAGAGGAGGACAGACAACCACCACAACAACCUUUUGUGGUCUGUGGUUCCAUCAGGACCGAAUGGAGAGGAGGAGAUACAGAUUGAAUCAGUCACAGUAGGAACAGAGAAAUAAAAUGUACGCCUACCACGCUGCACCUUGGUCUCAUUCCAACAACGGGCGUGACAGAAGAUCCCACCACCAAGUGACCAAGCAGCGUGCUCAGGAAUGGAGGACAUCCUGGACCUGGGAGGAGGUAAUGGCAGGGGACAAGACCCUGCCAUGGAAGCAGGCGGAGGCAGCGAGAGAGGAACGGCGACGAGACCAGGAAUCAAGGAGACGACGGAAACCCGAGAGGCAGCCUCCAAAAAAACAUUUUGGGGGGGCACACGGGGUGGCGAGUGGAGCAAAGGUGGGAACAAGAACCAACUCCCUGUAAUUACAAUGAGGAGUUGGUCACGGUUCAGAUACCAUGCUUUGCGGAGAUACGCAAUGUGUCUCCAGUGCGCAUCCACAGCCCGGUGCGCUCUGUACCAGCUCCUCGCACUUGCCAUGCAAAAGUGAGCAUCAAGCCAGGAUGGGUUGUGCCAGCUCAGCGCUCCUGGUCUCCAGUACGCCUCCUCGGUCCAGGAUAUCCUGCGCCGGCUCUACGCACUGUGUCACCAGUGCGCCUUCACAGCCCAGUGUGUCCUGUGCCAGCGCCCCGCACUUGCCGGGCUAAAGUGAGCAUUCAACCAGGACGGGUUGGGCCAGCUCUACGCUCCAGACCUCCAGUGCACCUCCACGGCCCAGUAUAUCCUGUGCCAGCUCCGCGCAUCCGGUCUCCAGUGCGUCUCCCCAGCCCGGUACGUCCUGUGCCUGCUCCACGCACCCGGCCUCCAGUGCAUCUCUCCAGCCUGGUAUGCCCUGUGCCUGCUCCACGCACCCAGUCUCCAGUGCAUCUCCCCAGCCUGGUACGCCCAGUGCCGGCUCCACGCACCAAGCCUCCAGUGAUGAUCCAUGGCAUGAAGCCUCCAGUGGUGAUCCAUGGCACGAAGCCUCCAGUGGUGAUCCACGGCCCGAAGCCUCCAGUGGUGAUCCACGGCCCGAAGCCUCCAGUGAUGAUCCACGGCACGGAGCCUCCAGUGACGAUCCAUGGCCCGGAGCCUCCAGUGACGAUUCAUGGCACGGAGCCUCCAGUGACAAUCCAUGGCCCGGAGCCUCCAG
rnacentral:lncRNA from 1 species